GAAAAGUAGCACUACAGUUUACAUUUUGAACUUAUCAUCGGAGUUUAGCCUCGCCAUCUCCUUGAAAAACCACUCUGUUUUGCUUAUAGUAGUAGACCUGUGUCCUGUUUUUCUUUUCCUGGUCGAAUGUGUUACUUGUGUAACCCAAUGUUUUAACCAUGGGCAAUGAUUCCUCUGAUUUUUCCAGAAAAUUUAAUGGCUCUGCUCUACACUGAAAAUUACAAUUUUUGUUUCUGGUUACUAGGAACACUUGACGGGCCGGACACGGCGAAGAGCAAAGCCGCGGUGUACUACUUGGCGUUGGCUGACCUGUGGGAGCACUUUGCUGGGAGCAGUGCCUACGGUCUUGCCGUGCUUGUCCGCCUCCUCGGCCACACCCUACCUCUCCGCCGUCCAGCUAUACACAGCGACCAGCCUCACCAUCUCCAGCGAGAGGUUUGUAGGGCCAGCAUACAACAGUGAUGUCUUGUCAUCGAAGCCUGAAUUUUCAGUACAUGGAGUGGGACUAACCUUACAGCAGAGUGCCCCUGUCUCAUAAGAUACCUUUGGAUGCGGCUUCUGGCUCGGCAUCGACAUCGGCGUUGGAUGCACCCCUGGAGCUAGCCUUCCACCUGUCUCUCGUGCCGAAGUAGAUCGGUGGUGAUCUCUUUUGGCAGCGGAUAGGGGCACUGCUGGUGCUGCCAGAGAGAACACUGUUGUCCUUGCGUCCUGCUGCUUGGCAUCAACUAUGGUGAUGAGGAAUAGGCUGGGAGAGGGCAACAUUUCCGGAAGAAAUCUUUGAAGGAAAAUUCGGUGUCUUGAGGCCACUCUGGAUGGAAUCAAUUAUCGACUUCUACACUACUUCUGGGCAUGCUGGUCCGUUGAUCUUGCCCGCCCGUGGGCCAUGUCACACGGGUUGCCGGAGGUGGCUGCUGCAAGGCGGUGGCAAGGUUGUCGCCGACCACACCCUUCCCGUGUCCUCGUGGUUCUCCUCCCACGUCCUUGGUGGGAG